AAUAGAUACCCAGGUAGUCCACGCCGUAAACGAUGAGUGCUAAGUGUUAGAGGGUUUCCGCCCUUUAGUGCUGCAGCUAACGCAUUAAGCACUCCGCCUGGGGAGUACGGCCGCAAGGCUGAAACUCAAAGGAAUUGACGGGGGCCCGCACAAGCGGUGGAGCAUGUGGUUUAAUUCGAAGCAACGCGAAGAACCUUACCAGGUCUUGACAUCCUCUGCCAACCCUAGAGAUAGGGCGUUCCCCUUCGGGGGACAGAGUGACAGGUGGUGCAUGGUUGUCGUCAGCUCGUGUCGUGAGAUGUUGGGUUAAGUCCCGCAACGAGCGCAACCCUUGAUCUUAGUUGCCAGCAUUCAGUUGGGCACUCUAAGGUGACUGCCGGUGACAAACCGGAGGAAGGUGGGGAUGACGUCAAAUCAUCAUGCCCCUUAUGACCUGGGCUACACACGUGCUACAAAUGGAUGGUACAAAGAGCUGCGAACCCGCGAGGGUAAGCCAAUCUCAUAAAAGCCAUUCUCAGUUCGGAUUGU
rnacentral:rRNA from 1 species